rnacentral:rRNA from 1 species
AGAGUUUGAUCAUGGCUCAGGACGAACGCUGGCGGCGUGCUUAACACAUGCAAGUCGAACGAUGAAGCCCAGCUUGCUGGGUGGAAGAGUGGCGAACGGGUGAGUAACACGUGAGUAACCUGCCCUUCACUCUGGGAUAAGCGCUGGAAACGGCGUCUAAUACUGGAUACGACCCUUACAGGCAUCUGUUGGGGGUGGAAAGAUUUAUCGGUGAAGGAUGGGCUCGCGGCCUAUCAGGUAGUUGGUGAGGUAACGGCUCACCAAGCCGACGACGGGUAGCCGGCCUGAGAGGGUGACCGGCCACACUGGGACUGAGACACGGCCCAGACUCCUACGGGAGGCAGCAGUGGGGAAUAUUGCACAAUGGGCGAAAGCCUGAUGCAGCAACGCCGCGUGAGGGAUGACGGCCUUCGGGUUGUAAACCUCUUUUAGUAGGGAAGAAGCGAAAGUGACGGUACCUGCAGAAAAAGCACCGGCUAACUACGUGCCAGCAGCCGCGGUAA